GUCGAGGUCCGGCGCGGCGACCGCCUCCAGCCGCGGGUGUGGGAGCAGCUGCCGGCCGGCCCCCCAGCCGCGGUGGAGUCGCGAGCGGCGGCGGGCUAGGGGCUCCCGCCCGCUCCCCUCUUUCCGGAAGACCGCUCUGGCGGGACCCGGUGCAGGCGCACCGCGGAGAGCGGGCUGGAGACCGCGCGCGUCCGUCGGCCUGCUUCUUAAGCGCUUCGGCCGCUUGGCUUCUCCGUCUCAGGACGCCCAUCUGGGCCAGGUGGAGACGUGGCCGGGCCGCCUGCACUUCCGAGCCCUCCAGGACCAAAUCUUUGUCCUCUGUUGAGUGAUUUCAGUCAUUCCACAGAUUCUGUGUCUCCUAGGUGCCGGGGCUGUUCUAGGCAGGUCAUAAGGAUGUUCUUGGUAGAUUUAAGGACCGCCUUAAUGUAUUUUGCAUUUAGAUGGUAAGCGAUGAAAGGAGCUGUUUUUCGCUGUAAAACACUUGACAGUCUGCCUCUCCCUGUUCUCCGCUCUGCACCCUGGUAGCCGAAGUGGCAAGCUCCUAUCCCUUUCUCUGGGACGGCAGCUUGAGACAUUCUCCUUGUUUCUUCCCUGUGUUCUCACUUUGUCUUAGUUCCGGAGCCCUGGCUCUCUCUGGAGUGGGUCUGCUACCCUCCCCCUUGCCCCAGAUGCCUGUGACGCUGUCAUUUCUCUCUUGUUAGUGGCGAUGCCCGGUGUGUUCAGAGUCCCUGACCCUGCUGCCCUUACCCUGGCAGGUCCUUUCCUCUGGUUCCAGAUGACAUUGAGGAAAGGCAGAGAAAGGCAUUUGAGUAUUUAAGGCUGCCGGGUUGAAUGGACAUUACCCAGAGGCGCUAAACGUUGUGAAAUGAUCCUGAUGCAUGUCUGGUAGUGGCGUAGUGGUCUCUACUCCUCGGCUUUAGUAUAAGGCCAAUUUCCACGAUUUCUGCAUGUCCCUCCUCUCUCAGUCACUCCUCUCCGUCUGGGUCCCUCUUCGGUCUCUCGUGUCCUCUGACCCUUGUGGAUUGAGUCGAGCCAUCUCCCUGCCUCUCAGUGCCAAGUGGCAUUCCCCCCUUUUUCUUCUGACGGGAAAUGACCUGGUUUCGGUUGUGAUCUUCUCCGCAGUUAGGCUGUCUUGUGUCUCUAGCGAUUACAACACUGUCUCUUAGCUGCUGUGAUGUGAAGGGGUGAAUCAACUGGAAUAUUUGCAGUGGUACUUUCCUGAGCUAAACAGACUGCAGCAUUUCCCAAGGCAAGUGGGCCGUCGGCCAUUCUGCAUUUGAGUCUUCAUCCUGUUUUCUAUACUUGGCUUCUGUUAGGGCUUGGGCAGAGGAUGGGAGGAACAGUGGUUGAAGGAGCAGGAGAAAAAGCAGUGUUGUGAGGUGGAGUAACAUCCUCCUUCUAAGACCAACAUUAAUGUUACAGGUAACCAAACAUAGCAUAUCAUUCAUUCAGUUCUAUUUUCAGCUGUUAUAUUAUUUUGAAUGUCCAAGUCUUUUCAGUUCAGUUCAGUUGCUCAGUCGUGUCUGACUCUUUGCAACCCCA
rnacentral:lncRNA from 1 species